rnacentral:rRNA from 1 species
CCCUUAGAUGUUCUGGGCCGCACACGCGCUACACUGAAGGAGGCAGCGUGUACUCCUGGAUCGAAAGAUUUGGGUAACCCGCGAAUCUCCUUCGUGCUAGGGAUUGAGGUUUGCAAUUAUCCUUCAUGAACGAGGAAUUCCCAGUAAGUGCAAGUCAUAAGCUUGCGCUGACUACGUCCCUGCCCUUUGUACACACCGCCCGUCGCUACUACCGAUUGAAUGAUUUAGUGAGGACUUCGGACUGGGACCGAUGCGGCUUUCGGGCUGCGUCGGUAUUCUGGAAAGAUGUCCACACUGUAUCAUUUAGAGGAAGUAAAAGUCGUAACA